UACGUAGGGGGCAAGCGUUAUCCGGAUUUACUGGGUGUAAAGGGAGCGUAGACGGUUAUGCAAGUCAGAAGUGAAAGCCCAAAGCUCAACUUCGGGACUGCUUUUGAAACUGUGUAACUAGAGUGCAGGAGAGGUAAGCGGAAUUCCUAGUGUAGCGGUGAAAUGCGUAGAUAUUAGGAGGAACACCGGCGGCGAAGGCGGCUUACUGGACUGUAACUGACGUUGAGGCUCGAAAGCGUGGGGAGCAAACAGG
rnacentral:rRNA from 1 species